GAACCCUUGCAGAAGAGCUG
rnacentral:miRNA from 1 species